ACAUCGGAACGUGUCCUGUAGUGGGGGAUAGCCCGGCGAAAGCCGGAUUAAUACCGCAUACGCUCUACGGAGGAAAGGGGGGGAUCUUAGGACCUCUCGCUACAGGGGCGGCCGAUGGCAGAUUAGCUAGUUGGUGGGGUAAAGGCCUACCAAGGCGACGAUCUGUAGCUGGUCUGANAGGACGACCAGCCACACUGGGACUGANACACGGCCCAAACUCCUACGGGAGGCAGCAGUGGGGAAUUUUGGACAAUGGGGGCAACCCUGAUCCAGCAAUGCCGCGUGUGUGAAGAAGGCCUUCGGGUUGUAAAGCACUUUUGUCCGGAAAGAAAACUUCUGCCCUAAUACGGUGGGAGGAUGACGGUACCGGAAGAAUAAGCACCGGCUAACUACGUGCCAGCAGCCGCGGUAAUACGUAGGGUGCAAGCGUUAAUCGGAAUUACUGGGCGUAAAGCGUGCGCAGGCGGUCCGNUAANACAGAUGUGAAAUCCCCGGGCUUAACCUGGGAACUGCAUUUGUGACUGGCGGGCUAGAGUAUGGCAGAGGGGGGUAGAAUUCCACGUGUAGCAGUGAAAUGCGUAGAGAUGUGGAGGAAUACCGAUGGCGAAGGCAGCCCCCUGGGCCAAUACUGACGCUCAUGCACGAAAGCGUGGGGAGCAAACAGGAUUAGAUACCCUGGUAGUCCACGCCCUAAACGAUGUCAACUAGUUGUUGGGGAUUCAUUUCCUUAGUAACGAAGCUAACGCGUGAAGUUGACCGCCUGGGGAGUACGGUCGCAAGAUUAAAACUCAAAGGAAUUGACGGGGACCCGCACAAGCGGUGGAUGAUGUGGAUUAAUUCGAUGCAACGCGAAAAACCUUACCUACCCUUGACAUGUAUGGAACCUGGCUGAGAGGUCGGGGUGCCCGAAAGGGAGCCAUAACACAGGUGCUGCAUGGCUGUCGUCAGCUCGUGUCGUGAGAUGUUGGGUUAAGUCCCGCAACGAGCGCAACCCUUGUCCCUAGUUGCUACGCAAGAGCACUCUAGGGAGACUGCCGGUGACAAACCGGAGGAAGGUGGGGAUGACGUCAAGU
rnacentral:rRNA from 1 species